GAAAGUAAUAAAGAGCGUAUGGGGGAUGCCUAGGCUCUUGGAGGCGAAGAAGGACGUGGUAAGCUGCGAAAAGUCGCGGGGAUUUGCAAACGAGAAUUGAUCCGCGAAUAUCCGAAUGGGACAACCCGGCAGGCAGAAGGCCUGUCACCCAGCAAUGGGGGCUAACCCUCUGAACUGAAACAUCUAAGUAGGAGGAGGAGAAGAAAGAAACAUCGAUUUCCAAAGUAGCGGCGAGCGAAAUGGAAGGAGCCCAAACCGGUAUUGUUACGGCAAUGCCGGGGUUAUAGGACUGCGCGAUUCGAAGGACAAAGAACUGGAACGAUUUGGAAAAUUCGACCAUAGAGAGUGAAAGUCUCGUACAGGUAAUUGAGUUCAAAGAUAGCAGUAUCCUGAGUAUGGCGGGACACGAGGAAUCCAGUCAGAAUUCGCCGGGACCACCCGGUAAGGCUAAAUACUCCCAAGAGACCGAUAGUGAACCAGUACUGUGAAGGAAAGGUGAAAAGAACCCCGAACAGGGGAGUGAAAAAGAACCUGAAACCAUACGCUUACAACCUGUCGGAGCGGCUUCGUGCCGUGACGGCGUGCCUAUUGAAUAAUGAGCCUACGAGUUACUAAUCACUGGCGAGGUUAAGUGCUAGGAAGCACGGAGCCGAAGCGAAAGCGAGUCUGAACAGGGCGUUUAGUCAGUGGUUGUAGACGCGAAACCUUGCGAUCUACCCUUGAGCAGGAUGAAGGUUGGGUAAAGCCAACUGGAGGUCCGAACGAAUAAGCGUUGAAAAGCUUCUCGAUGACUUGAGGGUAGGAGUGAAAGGCCAAUCAAGCUGGGAAAUAGCUCGUACUCCCCGAAAUGCCUUUAGGGGCAGCGUUGUAAUAAAGAGUCUACUGGAGGUAGAGCUACUGAUUGGAUGCGGGGGCUUCACCGCCUACCAAAUCCCGACAAACUCCGAAUGCCAGUAGUAUGAUUUACAGCAGUGAGCCACCGGGUGCUAAUGUCCGGUGACAAAAGAGGAACAACUCAGACCAGCAACUAAGGUCCCCAAGCGUAUGCUAAGUUGAACUAACGAUGUUUUGUUGCAUAGACAGCUAGGAUGUUAGCUUGGAAGCAGCUAUUCAUUCAAAGAGUGCGUAACAGCUCACUAGUCGAGCGACAAAGCGUGGAUAAUAAACGGGCAUCAAGCAUACCACCGAAGUUCUGGGCGCGAAAGCGCGGUAGGGGAGCAUUCCAUUCAGCGUUGAAGCAGCGUCGUGAGAUGUUGUGGAGCGUAUGGAAAAGCAAAUGUAGGCAUGAGUAACGAUAAUGCGGGAGAGUAACCCGCACACCGCAAGACCAAGGUUUCCUGAUCAACGCUAAUCGGAUCAGGGUUAGUCGGGUCCUAAGGGUAAGCCGAACGGCGAUCUCGAUGGAUAAUCGGUUAAUAUUCCGAUACUGACAUAUACCUCGAUGGAGAGACGAAAUCGCGUAAGUACCGCCUCCUGACGGAAUAGGAGGUUAAAGGGCGUAUGUAUAGGGGCAGAUUAAGAGUCAGUCCUUGCUGAAACCCGACAGUACAGAGAGCCUACGGGCAAUUUGAUAGUGUACCCAAGCAUGUUUCCGAGAAAAUCUUCUAAGUUAUAGUAUAUGUCACCCGUACCGUAAACCGACACAGGUGGUCGAGGAGAGUAUCCUAAGGUGCUCGAGUGAAUCACGGUUAAGGAACUAGGCAAAUUAACCCCGUAACUUCGGGAAAAGGGGUCCCUACGCGAGUAGGGCGCAGCGAAGAGGUCCAGGCGACUGUUUAUCAAAAACACAGGGCUCUGCAAAUUCGAAAGAAGAAGUAUAGGGCCUGACACCUGCCCGGUGCUGGAAGGUUAAGAGGGGAUGUCAUCGCAAGAGAAGCAUUGAAUCGAAGCCCCAGUAAACGGCGGCCGUAACUAUAACGGUCCUAAGGUAGCGAAAUUCCUUGUCGGGUAAGUUCCGACCUGCACGAAUGGUGUAACGAUCUGGACACUGUCUCAACCGUGAGCUCGGUGAAAUUGUAGUCCCGGUGA
rnacentral:rRNA from 1 species